GGUUUUUUUUAAUUUAUGGUAUGUAGAGACUUAGUUUUAAGUAAAGACUUUAUUUUAAGUCUCUGCACCAUCACAUGUAAUAGUUAUCCUCAUAUUUUCUUUAUUUCAGUUGUUAGAUAGCUGCACCCUCCAGCUAAAUGUGCAACAGCCUGCUAAAGCUGUAUAAACACCAGACAGUGAACUGCUCACAUCUUACACAGAGAGACAUGGUUCUUUUUGUUUCUUCAAGAAAACCUUUUAUGAGCAGAGAAGGUACCUUACAAGAUAGCCUCUGAUUUGAGAGCAGAAAAAGAUUACUGUCCUAUUUUGCGAAUAAAAUUGAAGGAAUCCAUACUAGAAUACGUAGG
rnacentral:lncRNA from 1 species